rnacentral:rRNA from 1 species
AAAGUGCUAACCGCCAUGGUACAUUGCAAAUGUGGUUACCUAAACCCCGAUAAAAUUGCCAACAGCCAUUAAGCAAUAAAUAAGCAGCAACCACGUACGUGCAUACAUAGGAUGGUGAACUGGAUACAAGUGCUAAGAAAACACUUAGUCGCCCGUCUGGCGACAAACGCCGGCCUCCGGCAGCACGCCGUUGCCGUCGAUGACGCGGGCACUGUCAUAAACCUCUGGCUCCCUGAUAAUGACGAUGCACCGGACAGGAAGCAGAAGCAGCGGAAGAAGCACCAGCCCGUGGUGCUCGUGCACGGCUUCGCCGGCGACGGCAUUAUGACGUGGGUGCUCCAGGUGAGCGCCCUCGCCAAUCGUGGCUACGACGUGUACGUCCCCGACCUGGUGCACUUCGGCGGCUCCACAUCGCCGUUGCCAGACCGCUCCGUGGCCUUCCAGGCACGGUGCCUUGCGGCGGCUCUACGGAAGCUUGGAGUCGGUACGGCCGACGUGGUGGGCUGGAGCUACGGCGGGUUCGUAGCAUUCGAGCUGGCGGCCGUGCAUCCGGACCAGGUCCGCUCCGUCGUCGCCUCCGGCAGCACCGUCAAGUACACUAGCGCCAUGAGGGAUGACUUGCUGAGGAGGCUUGGCUGGGCCCAAUCGCUGACGGAGCUCUUGGUGCCGGAGUCGGUUGGCCAGCUCAGGUUGCUGUUCUCCAACGCCAUGCACAUGAAGCCGUGGUUUCCGGAUCGCCUUCUCAGGGACUUUCUUAAGGUGAUGUAUUUCAACCAAAAGGAGAGAGCUGAGAUGAUAGAAGAUAUAGUCCUCGGGGACACAGAAGCAUUUGCCCCUGUUUUUCAGCAGAGCAUACUCCUGUUGUGGGGUGAAAAUGACAACAUGUGGCCCAUAGAGGAUGCUGAGUGUCUGAAACACAAGCUAGGGGAGAAGGCGAACCUGCGACGCAUAAGCAAAGCAGGGCAUCUUGUACAACUGGAGAGGCCAUGUGUCUUCAACCGCAACCUCAUAGAGUUCCUGGCUCAUGGCAACACACGCUCCUCUUGAGUGCGCCAUGGAUCAUCAUGAUCGUACCUAAAAGAUAUGUCAAACUCAUUGAUCAUCAUAGGGUGCACUUACCAGAUGUCCUGACAUGAUAUAUAUUUGUAUGUAUACCCCAGUCUAUACUCAUGUAUACCUACUAAUAA